rnacentral:rRNA from 1 species
GAUAAACGCUGGCGGCGUGCAUAACACAUGCAAGUCGAACGAAGUGGCGAACGGGUGAGUAACACGUGAGUAACCUGCCUUACACAAGGGGAUCGCCUUUGGAAACGAAGAAUAAUACCCUAUAGUGUAGGUUGGGCUUGCGUCUGAUUAGCUAGUUGGUGAGAUAAAAGCUCACCAAGGCGACGAUCAGUAGCCGGCUUGGUGGAGUGUACGGCAACCUUGGGACUGCGACACGGCCCAAACUCUACUGGAGGCAGCAGUGGGGAAUUUUGCACAAUGGGGGAAACCCUGAUGCAGCGAGGCCGCGUGAUUUAGAAGGCCUUCGGGUUGUAAAAAGCUUUUUUACGGGAUGCAGUACCGUAAGAAUAAGGUCCGGCUAAAUACGUGCCAGCAGCCGCGGUAAUAC